rnacentral:rRNA from 1 species
UACAGAGAGUGCAAACGUUGUUCGGAAUUACUGGGCUUAAAGCGCACGUAGGCGGCAUCGUAAGUGUGGAGUGAAAUCCCACGGCUUACCCGUGGAACUGCUUGGCAGACUGCGAUGCUCGAGUGUGGUAGGGGAGAGCGGAACUCCUGGUGGAGCGGUGAAAUGCGUAGAUAUCAGGAGGAACACCGGUGGCGAAGGCGGCUCUCUGGUCCACAACUGACGCUGAGGUGCGAAAGCGUGGGGAGCAAACAGG